CGAGGGGACAUCGGGAAUGGGGACAGUGAGGGGACACCGGGAAUGGGGACAUGGGGAAUGGUGACAUCGAGGGGACAUCGGGAAUGGGGACAGUGAGGGGACACCAGCAUGGGGACACCAGCAUGGGGACAGUGAGGGGACAUCGAGGGGACACCGGCAUGGGGACACAGCCAGGGGACAUCGAGGGGACACCGGCAUGGGGACACAGCCAGGGGACAUCGCAAAUGGGGACAGCGAGGGGGACAUCGAGGGGACACUGGGAAUGGGGACAGUGAGGGGACAUCGAGGGGACACUGGGAAUGGGGACACAGCCAGGGGACAUCAAGGGAACACCGGGGAUGGGGACAUUGAAGGGACAUUGAAUGGGGACACAUUGAGGGGACACCUUGGGGGACACCGGGCGCAGGGACACAUCCAGGGGACACCGAGCACGGGGACACCCCAGGGUGACCAGUGGACAUGGGGACACCUCAGGGAGGCCACCAGCUCUGGGGACACUUUGGGGGGCACCUCGAGGCAGUCACUGACCCUUGGGGACCCUUGGGGACAUCCUGGGGACACUUUGGGGACACCCUGGGGACGCCAUCCCGGCAGGACCCACCUUGAAGGCCUCGCGGCGCUGAUAUUCCAGCUUGGCCAUCUCCUCGGCCACCCAGGCGGGGAUGUCGGGAAUGGCCACCUGGAUGACGUACUUGAGGAGCAGGGCGAAGUGCUGGGGACACGGGGACCCGCCUCAGCCUUCCCGGCAUUCCCAAAAUCCCGCUUUUCCAGCCCAAAAUCCCGCUUUUCCAGCCCAAAAUCCCGCUUUUCCAGCCCAAAAUCCGGCCCUUCCAGCCCCAAAUCCCGCUUUUCCAGCCCAAAAUCCGGCCCUUCCUUCCCAAAAUCCCGCUUUUCCAGCCCAAAAUCCGCCCCUUCCAGCCGAAAAUCCAGCUCUUCCAGCCCAAAAUCCGGCCCUUCCAGCCCAAAAUCCCGCUCUUUCAUCCCAAAAUCCCGCUUUUCCAGCCCAAAAUCCGGCCCUUCCUUCCCAAAACCCCGCUUUUCCAGCCCAAAAUCCCGCUUUUCC
rnacentral:lncRNA from 1 species